GCUGGCGGUAUGCUUAACACAUGCAAGUCGAACGAGAAGGAAGAGCUUGCUCUUCCUGAAAGUGGCGAACGGGUGAGUAACGCGUGGGUAACCUACCCUUUGGGAAGGAAUAGCCUCGGGAAACUGGGAGUAAUGCCUUAUAAGAUACGUUUGUCGCAUGGCAUUUGUAUUAAACGCUCCGGCGCCAUAGGAUGGACCCGCGUCCCAUUAGCUAGUUGGUGAGAUAACAGCUCACCAAGGCCACGAUGGGUAACCGGUCUGAGAGGGCGAACGGUCACACUGGAACUGAGACACGGUCCAGACUCCUACGGGAGGCAGCAGUGGGGAAUAUUGCGCAAUGGGGGCAACCCUGACGCAGCAAUACCGCGUGAGUGAAGAAGGUUUUCGGAUCGUAAAGCUCUGUUAUUGGGGAAGAAAAAAAGACGGUACCCAAGAAGAAAGUUCCGGCUAACUACGUGCCAGCAGCCGCGGUAAUACGUAGGGAACAAGCGUUGUCCGGAUUUACUGGGCGUAAAGGGCACGCAGGCGGUUUUUUAAGUCAGAUGUGAAAGGCCACAGCUCAACUGUGGACAUGCAUUUGAAACUGAAAGACUUGAGUAUUGGAGAGGCAAGUGGAAUUCCUAGUGUAGCGGUGAAAUGCGUAGAUAUUAGGAGGAACACCGGUGGCGAAGGCGGCUUGCUGGACAAAUACUGACGCUGA
rnacentral:rRNA from 1 species